UUGUCAUGUAGAUUAUGAAUAAUAAAAAAUAUCCGAUAUACUAGCAUUUUUUUUAGAUACAAAAUAAACACCAGUGAAAUCAAAUUCAUUCAUUCGUCUAAUAAAAUGUUAGUAUAUAAAAUAGAAUUUUCUUGUAUUCUUUUUCAUGUGGAUGAAGUGUUUUUGCAAUCACAAGUCGUAAAGUGAUAUAUUAAAUUUAUUAUAAAAGGUUAUUGUGAGAUUGCUUGCAUCUUCUCUUUUUUUCAUAAAAUUUCAUUCAUUGUAAUUAGAAAUGUCUUUCAUAAAAAGCUUGAAAUAUAAAUCUUGUAUUAUGUAGCUUUGGUGCUGGAUAACUAAAACAGUGAGCAUGUGAUUUCCAAUAUAAAGAAAUUAAAAUGAUCCAAAAAUAGAAAUAAUAAUUUAAAAAUCAACUAUCAUUUUGAAGCAUCUCAAAA
rnacentral:lncRNA from 1 species